AUGCUGUCCUUUAUAGGUUUGGAGUUUGCUAUAGUGGGAACUGGUAUGAGCACUCAGUCCACGGCUUGUCAUGUGAACAUUACAAAAUCAGUGUUCUCGACUUUUAACAUGGCAAGCCAUGUUAAAUUACAAUUCAAGAACACUGAUUUUGGUUUAGCAUGUUUUCUAGUUAUACAAAUGUCACAACUUAACACCAAAAAAUUCUCAUCUGCAACAUAGAAGAUUAUAAUAAUACACUUUGUUUUUUUCUUUGAAUCCAAAAAUUUACAAUUUUAAAGAAGUUGCAGGCAAAGCUAUUAAAUUUUUAAUGGUAUUUGCACCAUCUGUGUGAAAAGGGC
rnacentral:lncRNA from 1 species